rnacentral:rRNA from 1 species
GAUGAACGCUGGCGGCGUGCCUAACACAUGCAAGUCGAGCGGACAGACCAGGCUCUUGCUCCUCUGACGUUAGCGGCGGACGGGUGAGUCACACGUGGAUAACCUACCUAUAAGACUGAGAUCACUUCGGGAAACCGGAGCUAAUACCGGAUAAUAUAUUGAACCGCAUGGUUCAAUAGUGAAAGACGGUUUUGCUGUCACUUAUAGAUGGAUCCGCGCUGCAUUAGCUAGUUGGUAAGGUAACGGCUUACCAAGGCAACGAUGCGUAGCCGACCUGAGAGGGUGAUCGGCCACACUGGAACUGGGACGCGGUCCAGACUCCUACGGGAGGCAGCAGUAGGGAAUCUUCCGCAAUGGGCGAAAGCCUGACGGAGCAACGCCACGUGAGUGAUGAAGGUCUUCGGAUCGUAAAACUCUGUUAUUAGGGAAGAACAAAUGUGUAAGUAACUAUGCACGUCUUGACGGUACCUAAUCAGAAAGCCACGGCUAACUACGUG